GGCAAUGUGGCUUAGUGGUAGAGUGCUUGCCUUGUAUUCAUGAAGACCUGGGUUCGAUUCCUCAAUACCA
rnacentral:tRNA from 1 species